UCAAUGCAAGAGUUAGGUAUUUAUUGUCUGAAAAACAAGCAGAAAUAAGGUAAGAAAACAAUUAAGGGACUGGGUAUCAAUUAAAAUCAAUAUAUACAAGGCUUCUUUUAAUUAUGGAAUUUAUACAUAAAUGGUAAUGAGCAAAAAUUAUUUAAGGACAGAAAUCAAAUAAGCAUCUUGUAAAAAGUAGACAAUUAGGGGUAAAUACAUAUAAGUUUAUUUAGGGGAAGAGUUUUGAAAUACACGGUUACAUAAAUAAGGUAAAAAAAUCAAUUAGUACAUAGUAAAUAAAGGAGUCCUAGAUUUGUAAUUACUAGUCCAUUAAUGAACCAAGUCAAAAAAUCUAAGAAAAGUUUUCGACUCAAACCAAGUAAUAGGGAAAUAAGCAAUCAAGGAAAGAAAUCAAUCAGGCUUUCAUGAAGGAAGUCUGAAAUCAUUCAAAAUUUGAAAUCCAUUUUAGAAGGUAGUUAAGCACAUAUAAAGAGCACACAAGUAUGCUAGGCUGAAUUUAGGGCAAAGAAAAACGUCAUGCAAUUGCAAAAUUAGUAAGUAGUAGACUAUGGUAGUCACAUAGGUCAAUAAUGUACAAGAGAAAUAAUAUCAAAUGGCAUACAAAGGGUCCAGUAGAAGGACCCUAGAAGAGUUUGGCAGGGUAUCAGAACCAUAUAAAGGAACAAAGGUCGAAGCCUAAUCGAGUAGUAUAUUUCAAAAACUUGAAAAAGGUUCAAAGAGGUUCGAAUUUUGAAAUCAAACAAGUUCAGAUAUGAAGUACAAAAUAAUCACAUAGACAAUGGUCUCAAAACUUAAAUGAAUCCCUAAAUUUAGGGGUUUCUCCAUCAAUCAAGAGUAGAGAUGCAAGGAAACGAUACUAACAAAGCAAGUUUAGAGGUCUUAGGAAGGAACUGAAACCUUUAACAUGCUCUUUCUGUAGAAGAACUCACGAGAAACAUAGUAAAGAACAACAUAGAAAACACAGUAGAAGAAGCAUAUAAAGAAACACAGUAAAAGAACUAG
rnacentral:lncRNA from 1 species